rnacentral:rRNA from 1 species
GUGUCAGCCGCCGCGGUAAUACAGAGGGUGCAAGCGUUAAUCGGAAUUACUGGGCGUAAAGCGCACGUAGGUGGUUAUCUAAGUCGGAUGUGAAAUCCCCGGGCUUAACCUGGGAAUGGCAUUCGAUACUGGAUGACUAGAGUCUGGUAGAGGGUGGUGGAAUUCCAGGUGUAGCGGUGAAAUGCGUAGAUAUCUGGAGGAACAUCAGUGGCGAAGGCGGCCACCUGGACUGAGACUGACACUGAGGUGCGAAAGCGUGGGGAGCAAACAGGAUUAGAAACCCGCGUAGUCC